rnacentral:hammerhead_ribozyme from 1 species
AUACAGCUGACGAGUCCCGAAUAGGACGAAACGCGUGUCCUGGAU